UGGGGAAUAUUGGACAAUGGGCGAAAGCCUGAUCCAGCCAUGCCGCGUGUGUGAAGAAGGUCUUCGGAUUGUAAAGCACUUUAAGUUGGGAGGAAGGGCAGUAAGCGAAUACCUUGCUGUUUUGACGUUACCGACAGAAUAAGCACCGGCUAACUCUGUGCCAGCAGCCGCGGUAAUACAGAGGGUGCAAGCGUUAAUCGGAAUUACUGGGCGUAAAGCGCGCGUAGGUGGUUCGUUAAGUUGAAUGUGAAAGCCCCGGGCUCAACCUGGGAACUGCAUCCAAAACUGGCGAGCUAGAGUAGGGCAGAGGGUGGUGGAAUUUCCUGUGUAGCGGUGAAAUGCGUAGAUAUAGGACGGAACACCAGUGGCGAAGGCGACCACCUGGGCUCAUACUGACACUGAGGUGCGAAAGAGUGGGGAGCAAACAGG
rnacentral:rRNA from 1 species